rnacentral:rRNA from 1 species
AUUAACGCUGGCAGGAUGCAUAACACAUGCAAGUCGAGCGUCCCGAUUUAUCGGGAAGCGGCGAACGGCUGAGUAACACGUUGGUACCUGCCUCGAACUCAGGGAUAACUCCGCGAAAGCGGAGCUAAUACCGGAUGUCCCAGCAAUGGGAAAGCUACGGCGGUUCGAGAGGGGCCUGCGGCGUAUCAGGUAGUUGGCGGGAUAACAGCCCACCAAGCCUAUGACGCGUACCUGGUGUGAGAGCACGACCAGGCAGAAUGGGACUGAGACACGGCCCAUACUCCUACGGAAGGCAGCAGUGAGGAAUUUUCCGCAAUGGGCGAGAGCCUGACGGAGCAAUCCUGCGUGGAGGAUGAACCCCCUCGGGGCGUAAACUCCUUUUCUGAGGGAAGAAAUUCUGACGGUACCUCAGGAAUAAGCACCGGCAAACUACGUGCCAGCAGCCGCGGUAAUACGUAGGGUGCAAGCGUUAUCCGGAAUCAUUGGGCGUAAAGCGAUCACAGGUGGAUAAGCAGGUCUGGUGUUAAAUACCCACGGCUCAACCGGGGUGCCGCAUCGGAAACCGCUUGACUAGAGGGAGGCAAAGGCAGGUGGAAUUUCCAUUGUAGGGGUUAAAUCCGUAGAUAAUGGAAGGAACAUCGAAAGCGAAGGCAGCCUGCUGGGCCUUUCCUGACACUGCUUGAUCGAAAGCGUGGGGAGCGAAAGGGAUUAGAUACCCCUGUAGUCCACGCCCUAAACCAUGGAUACUCGAUGUUCGGAGGUUCAAUCCCUCUGAGUGUCUCAGCUAACGCGUUAAGUAUCCCGCCUGGGGAGUACGGCCGCAAGGCUAAAACUCAAAGGAAUAGACGGGGAUCCACACAAGCGGUGGAGCGUGUUGUUUAAUUCGAUAGUAAGCGAGGAACCUUACCAGGACUUGACAUCCUCGGAACUCUGCAGAAAUGUGGAGGUGCCUUCGGGAACCGAGUGACAGGUGCUGCAUGGUUGUCGUCAGCUCGUGCCUUGAGGUGUUCGGUUAAGUCCGUUAACGAGCGCAACCCUCGUCGUAUGUUGUUUUUUCAUAUGAGACUGCCGGGUUCAACCCGGAGGAAGGUGGGGAUGACGUCAAAUCAGCAUGGCCCUUAUGUUCUGGGCGACAAACGCGCUACAAUGGCCGGUACAAUGCGUAGCCAAGCCGCAAGGCGGAGCCAAUCGCACCAAAGCCGGUCUCAGUUCGGAUUGGGGUCUGAAACUCGACCCCAUGAAGUUGGAAUCGCUAGUAAACGCCGAUCAGCCACGCGGCGUUGAAUAUGUUCCUGGAUCUUGUACUCACCGCCCGUCAAGUCACGAAAUCUGGGGGUGCCCGAAGUGGGGUUAGUCUUUCGAGACGCCUCCCUAAGGUAAACUCAGUGAUUGGGACU